UACGGAGGGUGCGAGCGUUGUCCGGAAUCACUGGGCGUAAAGGGCGCGUAGGCGGCGCGGGUAGUCAACGGUGAAAGCUUGGGGCUCAACCCCGAGUCGGCCGUCGAUACUCCCGUGCUUGAGCACUGUAGAGGCAGGUGGAAUUCCGGGUGUAGCGGUGGAAUGCGUAGAGAUCCGGAAGAACACCGGUGGCGAAGGCGGCCUGCUGGGCAGUAGCUGACGCUGAGGCGCGACAGCGUGGGGAGCGAACAGG
rnacentral:rRNA from 1 species